rnacentral:lncRNA from 1 species
AACGAGAAUGAAGAGUUGCAAUUGCAGGAAGAAAUAUGACUGGUCCUUAUUUGAACUCUGGUCCAUUUCCUACCCAGAAGGAAUUAAGACUCUGCCCUGGUUUCUAUGUCAUCCUCCACCAUGAGAUGAAAAAUGAGAGCCCAUAAGGAGUCAGAAAACAAAGCAUUGCCUUUGAAGAUAUGUAUGAGUUGCUAACAAAUGACUGACUCUGGAUCUGAACAAUGAAAGCCAGAGAAUGAAAGACAUACCCAAGCAAAUCAUGCUGAUCAGAAUUACUAAUAUAUGUGAUCUUCUUGGUAUCUGGACAUCAGCUUUUCCAAAGCACCAUUAUUGGCAAAUCUGUAAAUUUUAAAAUCUGCAAUUGUGCUGGGUAGCAAUGGCGCCCUCCAAGUUUCAGUCCCUCACAAUGUGCUGUUCACCCUGCUCCCGAAAGGAUCCCGAGGGCUGGGAGCCAAAUAUAUAUAUCUUUCUCCACUCUCCCCACAAGCAGAAGGUUGCAGAAAUCUCCUUUUGGGAACCUGACCAAUCCUCUAAAAAAGACUUACAGAUAGUGAAGUCGGGAGUUUCUUAACGAGAUGGACAAGUCAAGUCCUGCUAUAAUAAAGGCUCUGUUUUCCGGGAAGAGAAGGAAAUGGAAGGAUUGAGUGCGGAAUUCCUUUGGUACAGAGUGAAGCAUGGCCACAGGCUCGAGAGGUGAUAUGGUGCAGCAGCAAGUUCAUGGGCUUUGAAGUACAGCAGAUUCGGGUGUGAAACCCAGCUCUGGAAAUUACUAGCUGAGGACUUGGAGCUCUACCAAUGCUGCUUACUCAAAUGUGAUAGGACGGCUUAUGCUUAUCUGUGAGUUGAUUGUCAUAGGUGUGUAAUAAGAAAAGAAAUUGAGGAGUAAGGAUUUAAAAACUAUCAAGGUGCCAUUUCUGUGAGAUCACUUUUGUGAUCACUGGGUUUGUCUCACUGAAUGGGGUACAGACUCGCGCAAGCGCUGUUCAACUUGGGACGAAAGCUGCAUUCUAGUUGUGCACAGUAGGACCAGGAGACAACACGUGAUUAUUUAGUUUGACGGGAAGAAUUAAACAACAAUAAGAAGAAAGUAUGGCUAUUUAUUUUAAAAAUCGCAAAUUUUCAUCAUAUUUUAAAUGUAUAGUUUGCCAUUAUUGGAUAAAUUAAGGAAUUAAAUUUUAACUGUAAUUUGCAGAAGGUAAAGAAGAUUUACAAGAAUUGUUUUGUUAAGAAAUGACACAACUUUUCUUUCAGAAGUACUAUAUCAAAUAAUGGGAGUUAUUUCAAGGAAUGAAGAAGAAAUUUUAACUCUAAUUUACACAUGGUUAAAGAAGAUGCACUGCACCUUUUGUCAAGAAAUGGCACACCUUUUCUUUCAGUAGUGUGUUAAAUAAUGAUUGAAUUUGCUUCAGAGAAACGAAGACCAAAAGAGGUCAAGCUAGUUUUACUCAGAACUAUUAUCCCUCAUAUAUUAAAUUUAUUUUGUAGCUAUAAUAGGUGAUGAAGUGAUAAAAAAGAGUGUUAUUUGCUGAGAUGAAUUAGCUACUGAAGCAAUUAAACCAUCAAAACUUAAGUGGCGUUUACAUUCACAGCAUAAAGAAAUACAUCCAAAGCCACAAGAAUACUUUGAAAGGAAGAGUAUUGAAAUAGAAAGCUGACGGUAGCAGAUGUUCGAUAUUUCACAUAUAAACUUUACUGCUUUGCAGACUUUGUAUAAGGUAGCACUUCAGUUUCCUAAGAAUAAAAACAUCAUAUACAAUUACUGAGAAGCUAGU